UUAAAUUGAAGAGUUUGAUCAUGGCUCAGAUUGAACGCUGGCGGCAGGCCUAACACAUGCAAGUCGAACGGUAACAGGAAGCAGCUUGCUGCUUCGCUGACGAGUGGCGGACGGGUGAGUAAUGUCUGGGAAACUGCCUGAUGGAGGGGGAUAACUACUGGAAACGGUAGCUAAUACCGCAUAAUGUCGCAAGACCAAAGAGGGGGACCUUCGGGCCUCUUGCCAUCGGAUGUGCCC
rnacentral:rRNA from 1 species